GACGAACGCUGGCGGCGUGCUUAACACAUGCAAGUCGAACGGUGAACUCCGCUUGCGGGGGGAUCAGUGGCGCACGGGUGAGUAACACGUGGGCAACCUGCCCUCAGCUCUGGGAUAACUCCAAGAAAUUGGGGCUAAUACCGGAUAUGACCGCUGCCCGCAUGGUCUGGUGGUGGAAGGAUUUAUCGGCUGGGGCUGGGCCCGCGGCCUAUCAGCUUGUUGGUGGGGUAGUGGCCUACCAAGGCGAAGACGGGUAGCCGGCCUGAGAGGGUGACCGGCCUCACUGCGGGGGAGAGACGGCCCAGACGCCAGCGGGAGGCAGUGGUGGGGAAUAUGGCGCAGUGGGAGAGAGCCUGAGGCAGCGGCGCCGCGUGGGGGAUGACGGCCUUCGGGUGAUAAACCUCUGACUGCAGGGACGAAGCGAAAGUGACGGGACCUGCAGAAGAAGCACCGGCCAACUACGUG
rnacentral:rRNA from 1 species